AUCCAGAUGCUGAGUCCCAAAUAUGACGAAAUGCGCAUCUUGGAU
rnacentral:hammerhead_ribozyme from 1 species